rnacentral:ncRNA from 1 species
AAUAAACCGUUGAAGAGGAUAAGUAGUUUUAAUUAAUAUUUAAGAGAGUUAGUGGUUUGGUGUGAACUAAUAUUUUAAUUAUAAUGAAUCCACCUUGGAGGGACUGUGAACAUAAGCAGUACGGUGAAGAAUCGUUAAAUCUGUAAAGAGAGGAUAUUAACCUUUGAGGUUUUAUCAAUUAGGGUGGCAACGCGGAGUCUAUUCGUCCCUUUU